GAUGAACGCUAGCUACAGGCUUAACACAUGCAAGUCGAGGGGCAGCAUGGACUCAGCUUUGCUGAGUUUGAUGGCGACCGGCGCACGGGUGAGUAACGCGUAUCCAACCUGCCCUUUACUCCGGGAUAGUCUCCUGAAAGGGAGUUUAAUACCGGAUGUGUUUGUUUUUCCGCAUGGGAGCGACAAAUAAAGAUUAAUUGGUAAAGGAUGGGGAUGCGUCCCAUUAGCUUGUUGGCGGGGUAACGGCCCACCAAGGCAACGAUGGGUAGGGGUUCUGAGAGGAAGGUCCCCCACAUUGGAACUGAGACACGGUCCAAACUCCUACGGGAGGCAGCAGUGAGGAAUAUUGGUCAAUGGGCGAGAGCCUGAACCAGCCAAGUAGCGUGAAGGACGACGGCCCUACGGGUUGUAAACUUCUUUUAUAAGGGAAUAAAGUUCGCCACGU
rnacentral:rRNA from 1 species